rnacentral:rRNA from 1 species
AUUGAACGCUGGCGGAAUGCUUUACACAUGCAAGUCGAACGGCAGCACGGGGCAACCUGGUGGCGAGUGGCGAACGGGUGAGUAAUACAUCGGAACGUGCCCAAUCGUGGGGGAUAACGUAGCGAAAGUUACGCUAAUACCGCAUACGAUCUACGGAUGAAAGCGGGGGAUCGCAAGACCUCGCGCGAAUGGAGCGGCCGAUGUCAGAUUAGGUAGUUGGUGGGGUAAAGGCUCACCAAGCCGACGAUCUGUAGCUGGUCUGAGAGGACGACCAGCCACACUGGGACUGAGACACGGCCCAGACUCCUACGGGAGGCAGCAGUGGGAUUUUGGACCAAUGGGCGCAGACCUGAUCCAGCCA